AGUGAACGCUGGCGGUAGGCCUAACACAUGCAAGUCGAACGGCAGCACAGUAAGAGCUUGCUCUUACGGGUGGCGAGUGGCGGACGGGUGAGGAAUAUAUCGGAAUCUACUUUUUCGUGGGGGAUAACGUAGGGAAACUUACGCUAAUACCGCAUACGACCUACGGGUGAAAGCAGGGGAUCUUCGGACCUUGCGCGAUUGAAUGAGCCGAUGUCGGAUUAGCUAGUUGGCGGGGUAAAGGCCCACCAAGGCGACGAUCCGUAGCUGGUCUGAGAGGAUGAUCAGCCACACUGGAACUGAGACACGGUCCAGACUCCUACGGGAGGCAGCAGUGGGGAAUAUUGGACAAUGGGCGCAAGCCUGAUCCAGCCAUACCGCGUGGGUGAAGAAGGCCUUCGGGUUGUAAAGCCCUUUUGUUGGGAAAGAAAAGCAGCAGGUUAAUACCCCGCUGUUCUGACGGUACCCAAAGAAUGAGCACCGGCUAACUUCGUG
rnacentral:rRNA from 1 species